rnacentral:piRNA from 1 species
UGGGGAAGAUUUUGCAAAGUGACAAAGU